rnacentral:rRNA from 1 species
GAUGAACGCUAGCUACAGGCUUAACACAUGCAAGUCGCGGGGCAGCAUGGGGGUUGCUUGCAAUCCCCGAUGGCGACCGGCGCACGGGUGAGUAACGCGUAUCCAACCUGCCCUUCACCACGGGAUAACCCGGCGAAAGUCGGACUAAUACCGUAUGUUGUCCAUUGACGGCAUCCGAUUUGGACGCGGGGUUUGGCGGUGAAGGAUGGGGAUGCGUCCGAUUAGCUGGACGGCGGGGUGACGGCCCACCGUGGCGACGAUCGGUAGGGGUUCUGAGAGGAAGGUCCCCCACACUGGAACUGAGACACGGUCCAGACUCCUACGGGAGGCAGCAGUGAGGAAUAUUGGUCAAUGGGCGUAAGCCUGAACCAGCCAAGUAGCGUGCAGGAUGACGGCCCUAUGGGUCGUAAACUGCUUUUAUGCGGGGAUAAAGUGGGCCACGUGUGGGUUUUUGCAGGUACCGCAUGAAUAAGGACCGGCUAAUUCCGUG